rnacentral:lncRNA from 1 species
GAGCAAACACCUCAGCUUUCUUCUAUCAUAAUGCCAAAUUUGACCCUCGAAGUCCACAAUGCGCAGGAGCACUAAAAUAAUUACACA